rnacentral:rRNA from 1 species
CUACGGGACGCUCCAGUGAGGAAUAUUGCACAAUGGGGGGGACCCUGAUGCAGCAACGCCGCGUGGAGGAUGACGCAUUUCGGUGUGUAAACUCCUUUUAUAUGUCAAGAAAAUGACGGUAGCAUAUGAAUAAGCACCGGCUAACUCCGUGCCAGCAGCCGCGGUAAUACGGAGGGUGCAAGCGUUACUCGGAAUCACUGGGCGUAAAGGACGCGUAGGCGGGUUGGAAAGUCAGGUGUGAAAUCCUACAGCUUAACUGUAGAACUGCACUUGAAACUUCUAAUCUAGAGUAUGGGAGGGGGAGAUGGAAUUAGUGGUGUAGGGGUAAAAUCCGUAGAUAUCACUAGGAAUACCUAAAGCGAAGGCGAUCUCCUGGAACAUUACUGACGCUAAGGCGUGAAAGCGUGGGGAGCAAAGAGGAUUAGAUACCCGAGUAGUC